AUAAUAAUUAGUCUUUUAAUUGGAGACUGGAAUGAAAGGUCGGACAAAAAGCAAUCUGUCUCAACUUUAAUUUUUGAAUUUAACUUUUAAGUGAAAAGGCUUAAAUAAUCUUGAAGGACGACAAGACCCUAUAAAACUUUAUAUAUCAGGAUUGUAAGCUCGGCUUUAUUUGUUUAUAAAUUAUUUAUUAUCCUAUAUAUUUCGUUGGGGCGACGAAAGUAUAAACCUAACUGCUUUUAUUUUAAACAAUUAUUUUUGGAACUAACGACCCUUUACUUAAGAUUUCAAGAAAAAGUUACUUUAGGGAUAACAGCGUUAUUUUUUUUGAGAGUCCAUAUCGACAANNNNNUUUGCGACCUCGAUGUUGAAUUAAAUUUUCCUUAUAGUGCAGGAAUU
rnacentral:rRNA from 1 species